rnacentral:rRNA from 1 species
UUUAUUUCACAGCAUUGUGGAAUAAUGAAAGACGGAGCAAUCUGUCACUUGGGGAGGGGCCUGCGCGCGCAUUAGCUAGUUGGUGGGGUAAUGGCUCACCAAGGCGACGAUGCGUAGCCGACCUGAGAGGGUGAACGGCCACACUGGGACUGAGACACGGCCCAGACUCCUACGGGAGGCAGCAGUAGGGAAUCUUCCGCAAUGGGCGAAAGCCUGUACGGAGCAACGCCGCGUGGAGUGAUGAAGGUUUUCGGAUCGUAAAUCUUUGUUGCCAAGGAAGAACGUCUUCUAGAGUAACUGGGCUAGGAGAGUGACGGUACUUGACCGAAGAAAGCCCCGGCUAACUACGUGCCAGCAGCCGCGGUAAUACGUAGGGGGCAAGCGUUGUCCGGAAUUAUUGGGCGUAAAGCGCGCGCAGGCGGUUCUUUAAGUCUGGUGUUUAAACCCGAGGCUCAACUUCGGGUCGCACUGGAAACUGGGGGACUUGAGUGCAGAAGAGGAGAGUGGAAUUCCACGUGUAGCGGUGAAAUGCGUAGAUAUGUGGAGGAACACCAGUGGCGAAGGCGACUCUCUGGGCUGUAACUGACGCU